rnacentral:rRNA from 1 species
AUUGAACGCUGGCGGCAGGCCUAACACAUGCAAGUCGAACGAGCGGCGGACGGGUGAGUAAUGUAUGGGGAUCUGCCCUAUGGAGGGGGAUAACUACUGGAAACGGUAGCUAAUACCGCAUACUAUCGGCUGAGCCCAUAUGGGAUUAGCUAGUAGGUGGGGUAAAGGCUCACCUAGGCGACGAUCUCUAGCUGGUCUGAGAGGAUGAUCAGCCACACUGGGACUGAGACACGGCCCAGACUCCUACGGGAGGCAGCAGUGGGGAAUAUUGCACAAUGGGCGCAAGCCUGACGCAGCCAUGCCGCGUGAAUGAAGAAGGCCUUAGGGUUGUAAAGUACUUUCAGUGGGGAGGCGUUAACCGCAGAAGAAGCACCGGCUAACUCCGUGCCAGCAGCCGCGGUAAUAC